UACGUAGGGACCAGGCGUUGUUCGGAUUUACUGGGCGUAAAGGGCGCGUAGGCGGCGUGGUAAGUCAGCUGUGAAAUCUCCGAGCUUAACUCGGAACGGUCAGCUGAUACUGCUGUGCUAGAGUACAGAAAGGGCAAUCGGAAUUCUUGGUGUAGCGGUGAAAUGCGUAGAUAUCAAGGGGAACACCUGAGGCGAAGGCGGGUUGCUAGGCUGAUACUGACGCUGAGUGCGCGAAAGCUAGGGUAGCAAACGGG
rnacentral:rRNA from 1 species